GAUGAACGCUAGCGGAAGGCUUAAUACAUGCAAGUCGAGGGGUAACAGCAGAACCUAGUUCUGGCUGACGACCGGCGCACGGGUGAGUAACGCGUACACGAUCUACCUUUAGCAGGAGGAUAGCCCUGGGAAACUGGGAUUAAUACUGCAUAAUAUUAUGAGUUUUAGAAGGUCAUAAUUAAAGAUUUAUUUCGGCUAAAGAUGAGUGUGCGUCCCAUUAGCUAGUUGGUAAGGUAACGGCUUACCAAGGCGACGAUGGGUAGGGGGCGUGAGAGCGUGAUCCCCCACACGGGUACUGAGACACGGACCCGACUCCUACGGGAGGCAGCAGUAAGGAAUAUUGGACAAUGGGCGCAAGCCUGAUCCAGCCAUUCCGCGUGCAGGAUGACUGCCCUAUGGGUUGUAAACUGCUUUUAGAUAGGAAGAAACCCCUGGAUUUAUCUGGGGCUGACGGUACUAUCAGAAUAAGCACCGGCUAACUCCG
rnacentral:rRNA from 1 species